GACGAACGCUGGCGGCGUGCCUAAUACAUGCAAGUUGAGCGCUGAAGGUUGGUACUUGUCCCAACUGGCUGAGCAGCGAACGGGUGAGUAACGCGUGGGGAAUCUGCCUUUGAGCGGGGGACAACAUUUGGAAACGAAUGCUAAUACCGCAUAAAAACUUUAAACACAAGUUUUAAGUUUGAAAGAUGCAAUUGCAUCACUCAAAGAUGAUCCCGCGUUGUAUUAGCUAGUUGGUGAGGUAAAGGCUCACCAAGGCGAUGAUACAUAGCCGACCUGAGAGGGUGAUCGGCCACAUUGGGACUGAGGCACGGCCCAAACUCCUACGGGAGGCAGCAGUAGGGAAUCUUCGGCAAUGGACGAAAGUCUGACCGAGCAACGCCGCGUGAGUGAAGAAGGGUUUCGGAUCGUAAAACUCUGUUGGUAGAGAAGAACGUUGGUGAGAGUGGAAAGCUCAUCAAGUGACGGUAACUACCCAGAAAGGGACGGCUAACUACGUG
rnacentral:rRNA from 1 species